UACAGGGGGUGCAAACGUUGCUCGGAAUUAUUGGGCGUAAAGCGCACGUAGGCGGUUUGUUAUGUCGGAUGUGAAAGCCCUUGGCUCAACUGAGGAAGUGCAUCCGAAACUGGCAAGCUAGAGUAUGUAAGAGGGUCGCGGAAUUCCCGGUGUAGAGGUGAAAUUCGUAGAUAUCGGGAGGAACACCGGUGGCGAAGGCGGCGACCUGGGACAAUACUGACGCUGAGGUGCGAAAGCGUGGGGAGCAAAC
rnacentral:rRNA from 1 species